rnacentral:RNase_P_RNA from 1 species
UUGUAAGCCGGGUUCUGUCGUGGACAAUCAUUCCUCUAGGCUUGCAUUUACACACAAGCUCAAGCAACCUACCCGAACUCUCGGCGGGCCACCGAUUGAGUUCCUAUUUGGUCUUGCUACGAGUGGAGUUUACCUAGCUGCCAAAUGUUACCACUGGCACGGUGCGCUCUUACCGCACCCUUUCACCCUUACCAGCCAAAGCUGGCGGUCUGCUCUCUGUUGCACUANUCGUAAGCUCGCGCCCCCCGGACGUUAUCCGGCACUCUGCCCUGUGUAGCCCGGACUUUCCUCCCCA